AAUCAACGCUGGCGGCGCGCCUAACACAUGCAAGUCGCACGAGAAAGGCCCUUUCGGGGGCUGAGUACAGUGGCGCACGGGUGAGUAACACGUGGAUACCUGCCCUCAAGUGGGGAAUAACUUUGGGAAACCGGGGCUAAUACCGCAUACGUUCGAGAGAAGAAAGCAGCAAUGCGCUUGAGGAGGGGUCCGCGGCUGAUUAGCUAGUUGGUGGGGUAAAAGCCUACCAAGGCGACGAUCAGUAGCCGGCCUGAGAGGGCACACGGCCACACUGGCACUGAGACACGGGCCAGACUCCUACGGGAGGCAGCAGUGGGGAAUCUUGCACAAUGGAGGAAACUCUGAUGCAGCGACGCCGCGUGAGCGAAGAAGCCUUUCGGGGUGUAAAGCUCUUACGCCAGGGACGAUAAUGACGGUACCUGGAGAAGCAGCUGCGGCUAACUACGUGCCAGCAGCCGCGGU
rnacentral:rRNA from 1 species